UUGCAGAUUUAUCUUUGUUUCUAUAUCUUUCGAUUUUGAUUUCUUAUUCUUAUAUUGAACUGUUGUUUGGGAAUGUCUUUGAAUUUUCUAGGUACUUUUCAUACUCGGGUAGUCUCUAUACGUCUUGAAGGAAUCGGAAAAUUUUGGUUACAGGUAUGGUUUGGGGAUUUCAUUGAUUCUUGGUUUCACAUUUUCAAUUAAUCAUAAUAAGCAAUUGCUGCUCAUGAACUGUUCGUCAAUUGGGAUUUUGCUUCUUUCUUCUUUUUUAUUUUUUUAUUUUUUACCGCUUGGUUUUCUUUCAAUUGUUGCAGGUAAAUUAGAUGGGCGAUUUCUUAACAUUGUGAGCAAAUGAUGUCUCUAAUGUUAGUUCCAGUAAAGCAAGAUAGUAAGUACUACUGUAGCCACCACAGUUGCAGGUGAUAUUUUGUUUUAUUUGGCUUCUUAUUGGUUUCUGUAAGAUAAUGAUCCCUUGCUUAUAUUAAUGGUUCUUAUGUUCGCUUUAUUUUGUUAGUAUAUUUCUUGCAGAAGUAUUAAGACAACAAUGUGCACUAGGGCAAUUGAGGUAUGCAAUUCCUCAGUUAAAUGCUCUAACUUUUGUUAUAUUCUCAAUUUGGAUUUUAUUUCUGUUCAGUAGAUGCUCAGAAGCAUAGUGUCAGUAAAUCACAAGUGACUAAAAUUAAGUCAUUCUUUGAGCAGUUCCUUUUUUAGGAGCCUCUCCUUUGCCUAAAUCUUGGAGUUUAUUUUUGUUAAUCUACAUAGUUUUGUCUGCCAAAGAAUAUUGUUUCUCUAAAGUUUUUCCAUUUUCGUAAAGUUUAUUCAUGUAUGGAUUGUUAGUCUGACAACUAAAAGGUAGAACAAAUUGGUUAUUAGUUACUCAUAUCCCUUCAAAUCCCAUAGCAACAGCUUCACACUAAAAGGUACGUAGAACAAAUUGGUUGUUAGUACUUCUAUCUAUUUCUUUCAGAGAAGUUUAAUUGGUUAUAUUUUUUGACUGAAUUCUUCAUUGGUUAGUAGUGUUCUUAUUCAUUCUGGAGAAAUGUAGUUUUGAUCUCAGAAUUCCUCAUGAUUUAGUUUGCUUUUGCUUAAAUUUGAUUGAUUUUCUCAAACCCCAUCAGCAAGAUAUGAACUUUUUUGCUCCAUAUGUGUCAAUUUUUGAAGUUAUUGAUGAUUUUGACAGACAUGGUUUAUUGAGCUGGGUCCCCCAACUCCUAAAGAACAAAAUGCUUGCAUUCACAAGUAAAAAGGGCUUUAAUUAGCUGCUCUUUGUAUGAUUUCAAUUCUAUUAUUGAGGAAUUUGAAAGCUUUAAUUGCUUAUUAAGCCAGGUUAGGUGGCUUUAACUAUAAAGCUAAGUUCAGGGGAGCUACUGCCAAGUCCCUAUCUUUCCUACAAGAGCCAAGAAGAUAAGGGCCUCCCAAAAAAUGGUUUCUUAUGCAACCAUGUGUGCACUUUGGACAGUUUUGGAGACUUUUGAGAAGGGCAAGAGGACUCGUCAGGAUUGAAGGCAUUUUGGAAUAAAUUGGGCUUUGAUUGAUCCAAAGACCUCGGUUGAAGUUUUUGGUUUCUGUCAAGGAGUUGCUGCCAUGGGUCAUGAUGCCUCUUCAGAUAGUGUAUGUGAAUGAAAAUAAAAGUAGUAAACAGUCUAUGACCUCUUUUCGUUUUUGGGGUGGCACCCUUCAAGGUCAAUUGCUACUUAGUUCUUUUUCCAUUUUCUUUCGUCUCAGACCCUUCUGCAGUGGUCUUAAAUCAAUUGAAAAUAGUUUGCUAUUUA